AUAGUACAUUUAUUUUGAAAGAGGCUGCAUGAAAACUGUACAAGUAUUUUCAUUGGGACCCUACUCACCCCCUCUGAUAUGGGGCAUAAACACAAGAUCACUCAUAGACAGGAUGGCAGGGGUUCAACAUGCAUUUUGCUCAGAUAACAGAUCAUAUUAAAGCUGUUACAAACAAAACAAGCAACUGAGUGUACAGAGUUAAAAGAGCUGACUUGUCCAAGACAAGUUGAACUACAUGCCUGGUACAAACAACCAGCUGCAGCAGGCGAGAGGACAGGAGCCUAAAGAAUGAGCACAGUCACCAAGGGCCUUAUACAACCUGGCACUGAUUAGGGGUGUGGUUUGGGGAGGAGACAAGCCUCGGGCUGCAUUCACUAGCACUACAUGCUUACACUAGGCUCAUUCGAAAUUAAUAGUGGUGACAAAAGGCUGCAGUCAAGUCGGACAGUUUCCAUCCUGUUAAACACACCUGUAGGCUACUUUUAGUUUUUCAGACAGUCGGAUACCUUUCAGUAUGGCUGAAGACAUCGCAUACGCAUUCAUCGUAGCCGAUGGAAUUGAAGCAGAGGAGUUACUUUUUCCACGAAGCUUGACUUGAACAGAGAAGUGAUAGACUUCAAACACAUUUCAGACAUUCAAGAGGACAAGUGGAGGACCUUAUGACCAAAUUGAGACCAUCUGCAGCAAACCAAAUUACCUGUGUCAAACAGUGUUCUUGCCUUUCUAUGGACUCUAACCAAGCAUCAUAUAGGUCACCACGGCAGUUGGCAUGAUGCGAGACCAUUUUGCACCAUAGAUGUUGGCUAUUGGAAGAAGAUCCAAGAUCCCCAGGCCCUGGUCCCAGAGGGAAUGCACAUCAUUGGUGAUUCAGCUUACCCUCUAUUACAACGUCUAAUGAAGCCCUACAGGGAUGAUGGGCACUGCCAGGCAGAGGUGUGUGUGUGGCAGGGGGCGUGGCUGGUUCUUUCUACUGCAUCUGACAAGGCACACCUGUGUCCACUCAUGAACCUGCCUACAUCUACCUGGUCUUCACUCCGCUACUCUGCCAGAUAAUUCUGUCCAUUUUUGCCUUCGUGUUGUCUCCAGAGAUCCAGCUCUCUACACUGGUGAACAACCUUCUAGCCAGCCAGCACCCUGCCUCCACUAAAUAAACUCUUGUUUUCAUACA